AAGGAUUUAAGUUAAAAAAACUAUUAACCUUCAAAGUUAAAAAUGAGUGAUUCAAGCCUUA
rnacentral:tRNA from 1 species